CCUACGGGAGGCAGCAGUGGGGAAUAUUGCACAAUGGGCGAAAGCCUGAUGCAGCGACGCCGCGUGAGGGAUGACGGCCUUCGGGUUGUAAACCUCUUUCAGCAGGGAAGAAGCGAAAGUGACGGUACCUGCAGAAGAAGCGCCGGCUAACUACGUGCCAGCAGCCGCGGUAAUACGUAGGGCGCAAGCGUUGUCCGGAAUUAUUGGGCGUAAAGAGCUCGUAGGCGGCUUGUCACGUCGGGUGUGAAAGCCCGGGGCUUAACCCCGGGUCUGCAUUCGAUACGGGCUAGCUAGAGUGUGGUAGGGGAGAUCGGAAUUCCUGGUGUAGCGGUGAAAUGCGCAGAUAUCAGGAGGAACACCGGUGGCGAAGGCGGAUCUCUGGGCCAUUACUGACGCUGAGGAGCGAAAGCGUGGGGAGCGAACAGGAUUAGAUACCCUGGUAGUCCACGCCGUAAACGGUGGGAACUAGGUGUUGGCGACAUUCCACGUCGUCGGUGCCGCAGCUAACGCAUUAAGUUCCCCGCCUGGGGAGUACGGCGCAAGGCUAAAACUCGAAAUGAAUUGACGGCNGAGACGNGCGACGACGACGACGAGGAGAGG
rnacentral:rRNA from 1 species